CCCCAUUUGUUUUAUUGAUCUCACUGUAUCUUCCAUUCUAGUUUAACUCAUUUAUUUGAUUAACACGUACUACUGUUUCUGAUUUGAUAUACCAUCAUUCUCUGUGCUCUAGCUGAAAAGAUUUUAUAAGCCUCUUAUUUGUCUCUCUAUUUCUUUAUUUUCUCUCUUUACCACUCUUUCUCUAUCCUCUCUCCCUACCUCUGUCCCAUUGCUCUCUCUUUUUCUCUCUCUCUCCCCCAGUGGUCCAUGUGGCUGUUAGAGUUGCUACCACUAUCAGUCUGUUUGUGGCUGUGAUUAUAGUUGCAGUCAUUUACAGGAUGAGAUCAGGUGAUCCCCAGGGCAAACCAAACACCUCUGCUCAUAGUGUUGACUCUGCUGUAACCAGCCCGUCCUUGUAGCCUUGUAGCCUUAUGGGCUCUUUAGACACAGCUGUUUCCAGACUCUUCAUCAUCCUCCAUCACCUGCACUGGAGCUGCACUGGCUGGGGUUCCAGGGAGUCUAUAACUGCUUUAAAGAGGCAUUAAUGUUCAACUCCAGUUUUUUUUUUAUCUUUAAUCCCUUGUUUGUUUGGUUGUGACUGUUCCUCUUAGCAGUACUUUCAUGAGCAAGAUGUGGGAUUUUGGGUUUUACAACAAUUAAUGUGCUUAGUUGAGAUAAGUUUUCUUUUUCUAUAUUGGUCAUAUGUCUGUUAUCCACAUGU